GGCCUUCUCUCGCCUCCCAACCCCCCCCCACCACCCCCACCUCUAUCUUUCAGUCCAAAGAAGGGUUCCGACCUGAAAUAUCACCUAUUCCUUUUCUCCAGAAUGAAUCCCACAUCUCCCUCCCAAAGACAAAAUAACCUUUCUGCCAUCUCAAGAACAGAAUCAUAACUAACUUAACUACCAUCACUUCUGUGCAUUCUUUCUUUGACUUUAGACUUUAGAGAUUCAGCGCUGAAACAGGCCCUUCUGCCCAUCGAGCCCGAGUCGAUCAGCAAUCACCCUUUACACUAAAACAUUAUCCGACACAUUAGGGACAAUUUAGCGAGGGCAAUGAACCCAUAAACAUGUACGUCUUUGGAAUGUGGGAGGAAACUGGAGCAUCCGUAGAAAAAACGCGCGGUCACAGGGAGAACGUACAGACUCCGCACAGACAGCACCCGUAGUCGGGAUCGAACCCGGGUCUCUGGCGCUGUGAGGCAGAAACUCUACCGCUGCGCCACCGUGCGCGCCAAAACUACCUGAGUACGCUGGAUUGUUGCACACAACUGAAAAGUGGAGUUAAGCCAACCACGUUGCUAUAGAUAUAGUAAGGAUCUGUGAAUGGGGAAUAUGUUUGUGUGUGUUGUGUUUGGUGACUUUGAAUUGGAUGCAGUCAGAGUUGGGAGAGUUUUUUAAUUCACUUUUUACUUGGUGGCAUUUGGCUGUACGUUCUGCAGAGAAGCGACAUUGGGAAUCGUGAAUGCAUUGAUUGUAGCGAUUUUUACACCAGAAUCUGUUAUUUGUAUUUGCCGAUCUCCAUACUAUCCAGUGUGCCAUAUUAUUGUAUGAAUGUAGCAGAUUCUUAAUAAAUAGUUGCAUUCAAUGCAAACUA